UUUUAUUCUAACAUAGCCCGAGUAUGUUAGGAAACUAGAGCUGCAUAACCACUGCCUCUUAACUCUGCUAGCCCUGGCAUCUUAUCUGUAUGAUUUCUGCAGUGAUGGGAGGGAAGCUAGUAGCUCUCUAGUUCAUUAAACGGAACGUCUGUCUAGGAAGAUACCAGGAAGAUAUUUUAUAAAUGAAUGUCGAUAUUUUUCCUUCCAAUGUAAUUAGAUAUUCUGUUUCAAUCUAAGGCUCUUCUUACAGGCAAAAGGAAUAAUGAAGCUUUCAACCAUGAUACAACUGAGAAGAUUUCAGCAUCCACAUAGAAAGAAAAGCAGGGCAAUGCACCCUCCAAGCUUAGGAAGGAGGCAGCCAGAGAACUCCUGGCUCCUUUGUGGGGUGAGAGAGCUGCCCUAAGGAACUCCAGGCCCAAAAGAGAGAGCAAGUGGGAUUAGCUGCUUAUUGUGUAAACUUAGAAAGGGAAAACAGAAUUAAAGUAGGGGUAAACGGGAAAAAUAGAUGAGUAAAUUUUCCUAUUGCUUUAGAAAAAAAAAAUCUAAAUUCAUAUGUAAUUUUGUAUCUACUUGUUUCCCAUCUCUACAGGCUUCACUGAGAAGAUGAACCUGCCGAUGAGGUGUGCAGAGAACUUUGGCUGCACAAGUUAAGAGGAAGAGGCUGAGUCUCAGCUCAGAGAGUGCUGGUAAUGCCAAGCACAGCAGAGCUGCCAGAGGGAUCUACUUGGAAUCUGGGGAGGCCCUGGGGAGACUAACUGGUACAAUUUAAAGAGAUGCAAAGCAAAUGAUAUGCGGGGCAAUCAUGUGAAAAGCCUGCUGCCUUACAGGAUGGACUCCAGCUGCUCAGUGGGACGGGCUGUUGGGGGCUGGGUUUUGGUAGGGCAAGAGGGCCCCGGAUGGAGUGAUGGACACUCUAACUCACUACUCCGCCGUCCAAUACAGUCCAGAUUGUUCAACAACUCUGAGAAUAAAUGGUCUUUUUUAAAAAAUUGGUGUCAAACCUACUGUACUGGGUUGAUGUGAAAUUGAAAUUGAAAUAAGUUGUAUAUAAAAUGUCUGGCACAUAGUAGUGAUCAAUAAAUAUUAAUCCCUUCCCCAGACCAAUGCUGUAUUUCCAUUUCUGGGGCACAUGCCACAUUGUCUAAAUCAAUGUUUUAUUCACUCAUACAUCAAAGAUAAUGG
rnacentral:lncRNA from 1 species